CUUGAACCCGGGAGGCGGAGGUUGAAGUGAGCCGAGAUCACACCACGGUACUCCAGCCUGGCCUGGUGACAGAGCAAGACUCCAUCUCAAAAAAGAAAACAAAAUUAAGCUGCAAGGAAGAUUAAUAGGAAAAUGCCUAUGUUGUGUCAAGAGAAUGAAAACUAUUUUAUUUUUAAAAUUUAGAUACAGAAAUACAAGACUGAGAAGGAAAUACUCCAAAAUGUUAGUAACUGUAACAAGAUUAUAAAGCUACAUAUUUGUAGUAUGAAAAAAAUCUCUCCUGUAUUUUCUUACAAGUUUGCUUUUCUCUUUUUUUUUCUAUACAAAACCUCGCUUUGUUGCCCAGGCUGGAGUGCAGUGGUACGAUCCCGGCUUACUGCAACCUCUGCCUCCUGGGUUCAAGCG
rnacentral:lncRNA from 1 species